AUACUGUCAUUAUCAUCUCUGGCGAAAGUGCUUUACGACCCUAGGGCCUUCAUCACACACGCGGCAUGGCUAGAUCAGGCUUUCGCCCAUUGUCUAAGAUUCCCCA
rnacentral:rRNA from 1 species